GACGAACGCUGGCGGCGUGCUUAACACAUGCAAGUCGAGCGGUAAGGCCCUUUCGGGGGUACACGAGCGGCGAACGGGUGAGUAACACGUGGGUGACCUGCCCUCAGCUCUGGGAUAAGCCUGGGAAACUGGGGUCUAAUACUGGAUAUGACUCCACGGUGCAUGGUACGGUGGGGGUGGAAAGCCUUGUGCGGCUGAGGAUGGGCCCGNGGCCUAUCAG
rnacentral:rRNA from 1 species